rnacentral:lncRNA from 1 species
UGAUUACUUCAUUUACAGAUGGGAACAAUAUGACCAUAGAGAAUGAUAAGGAUUUUUGCCCAAGAUGACAAUAAGAGAAAUUCUUGAGUACAUUCACAGUGGACCCCUUAAAAGUUUUUCAGUCUGUAUCAUCUGGGAUACAGACUGGGAGCCACAACAUGUGCAAAUCUGACCUUUCAAGUUACUCUCCAAUGACCCAUGUUUAAACUGAAGACAAAGAAAUAAGGAAAAAUCACUGGAACAUUAAAUUAUCUUCAGUGUUUUGUAGUUUUUGUUUCUUUUAUUAAAGUUUAUGAUUAUUUACUUUCUCAAAGAGAAUGAGAAUGAGUCUUUAAAAGAUAUUGAGUCUUGGUUUUGGC